rnacentral:rRNA from 1 species
ACGAACGCUGGCGGCGUGCCUAAUACAUGCAAGUAGAACGCUGAAGGAGGAGCUUGCUUCUCUGGAUGCGUUGCGAACGGGUGAGUAACGCGUAGGUAACCUGCCUGGUAGCGGGGGAUAACUAUUGGAAACGAUAGCUAAUACCGCAUAAUAGUAGAUGUUGCAUGACAUUUGCUUAAAAGGUGCAAUUGCAUCACUACCAGAUGGACCUGCGUUGUAUUAGCUAGUUGGUGGGGUAACGGCUCACCAAGGCGACGAUACAUAGCCGACCUGAGAGGGUGAUCGGCCACACUGGGACUGAGACACGGCCCAGACUCCUACGGGAGGCAGCAGUAGGGAAUCUUCGGCAAUGGACGGAAGUCUGACCGAGCAACGCCGCGUGAGUGAAGAAGGUUUUCGGAUCGUAAAGCUCUGUUGUAAGAGAAGAACGAGUGUGAGAGUGGAAAGUUCACACUGUGACGGUAUCUUACCAGAAAGGGACGGCUAACUACGUG